rnacentral:rRNA from 1 species
AACGAACGCUGGCGGCAUGCCUAACACAUGCAAGUCGAACGAGACCUUCGGGUCUAGUGGCGCACGGGUGCGUAACGCGUGGGAACCUGCCCUUAGGUUCGGAAUAACUCCCCGAAAGGGGUGCUAAUACCGGAUAAUGUCUUCGGACCAAAGAUUUAUCGCCUUUGGAUGGGCCCGCGUUGGAUUAGCUAGUUGGUAGGGUAAAAGCCUACCAAGGCGACGAUCCAUAGCUGGUCUGAGAGGAUGAUCAGCCACACUGGGACUGAGACACGGCCCAGACCCCUACGGGAGGGAGCAGGGGGGAAAAUUGGAAAAGGGGCGAAAGCCUGAUCCAGCAAUGCCGGGGGAGUUAUGAAGGCCUUAGGGUUGUAAAGCUCUUUUACCCGGGAUGAUAAUGACAGUACCGGGAAAAUAAGCCCCGGCAAACUCCGU